CUGAGCUUCCUGCGAGGCGCUAGCAGCGGCGUGGUCCGAGUGAGCUUGGGAGAAGCCGUGGUGGCUUCCAUGUGAUGAUGGAGGAGGAGGCAGGUCUCAGCGGUUCCUCUGGAGUGCUCUAAAUGACACUGUUUCAUUAUUUUGAUGGCCAAGAAUAUUCCCUCAUGUAUGUAUACAAGAGUUUCUUGAUCUCUUUAUCUGUGGAUGAACAGGUCAUUUGCCAUGAUGUCCUCCAGGUUCAAGAGUAUUGCUCCAAAUGAUGAAAUUUCAUUCUGCUUUUCUGGCUGAAGACUAUUCGUGUACAUUCACCACAGUUACUUUAUCCCUUCACCUGUGGAUGGGCAGGUUUUUCCACAUGGCUGCAAAUGACUAGAUUUCACUCGUUUCUAUGGUUGAAGAAUAUUCUGUUCUGGAUGUAUACUGCAGUUUCCUCAUCCCUUCAUCAAUGGAUGAACAGGACAACCAAGUCCCUACAUGUCUCCUCUGGACACCAUGGGUUAAACCUUCCAAGAUGAAACAACAAUCGUCAAAUCCUCACCAUGACAGGAAACAAGGAGGAAGGACCCUGAAGACCCUCGAUGUCCCUUCUCAGCAGCAAGCAGCUUCAGAGAAUGACCUCUGUCCCAUCUUCCAAAAGAUUUCUGAGCCCCAACUCCUUGAGGGAGAAAUGUAAGAGUAGACAGUCAAUAUGAGCAGGCAUGAAGGGGGGUAUCCAUGUUGGAAAAAACGCCCAGGAGCACCUUUUAGGAUGCCCAGCACUCACUCCAUGGUCGAAUUGUCAGAAUGUUGUUAACUAGAUCAUGAUAAGGAAGGAAAAAGGCAAAAGAGAAAUUCCUGAGAGCUGAGCAGGCACAAUUAGUACAAAAUUCAUGGCUAUACCUUCUGGGGUGGCAGUAAUAAGCAGUGCCACCAUUAGAUAGGAUUCAUAUCGAUCACUGGUUCCAGUGCAUGUGCAUUAAACACAGUAAGGGAGGAUCCCCCAAACUUUGGUGAGAACUGGGUAAAAAAAGAACUGAGACAAUAGAAGAUCACAAUGCAGAAUGUCUUGGGGGUGUUUCUAGCAGUGUCAGCCCACUCCUCUCUUGGAGUGUUCUUGUGUUUCUCCAAUUAAACCUUU